GUCUAUGACCACACCACCCUAAACACAUCCAAUCUCAUCUGAUCUCAGAAGCUAAGCAGGGAUGGGCCUGGUUAGUACUUUGAUGGGAGAAAUAUCUUCAGAAGAGACUGCUCAGAGACAAGCAGUUUAGAGACA
rnacentral:rRNA from 1 species